rnacentral:rRNA from 1 species
AGCAGCCCGCGGUAAUUCCAGCUCCAAUAGCGUAUAUUAAAGUUGUUGCAGUUAAAAAGCUCGUAGUUGAAUUUCGGGAUUAGCACGUUGGUCGUGCCUUCGGUACGUACUGGUGUUACUGAUUCCUACCUUCUGACGAACCAUCAUGUCAUUAAUUUGGUGUGGCGGGGAAUCAGGACUGUUACUUUGAAAAAAUUAGAGUGUUUAAAGCAGGCUCGCGCUUGAAUACAUUAGCAUGGAAUAAUGAAAUAGGACGUUGAUCCUAUUUUGUUGAUUUCUAGGAUUGACGUAAUGAUUAAUAGGGAUAGUUGAGGGCAUUAGUAUUCAAUUGUCAGAGGUGAAAUUCUUGGAUUUAUUGAAGACUAACUACUGCGAAAGCAUUUGCCAAGGAUGUUUUC